GCCACUGUAGCUCAGCUGGUAGAGCAGCUGAUUCGUAAUCAGCAGGUCGGGGGUUCAAAUCCCUCCAGUGGCU
rnacentral:tRNA from 2 species